rnacentral:rRNA from 1 species
UACGGGGGGGGCAAGCGUUGUUCGGAAUUACUGGGCGUAAAGGGUUCGUAGGUGGCCAACUAAGUCAGACGUGAAAUCCCUCGGCUCAACCGGGGAACUGCGUCUGAUACUGGUUGGCUUGAGUGCAGGAGAGGAACGCGGGAUUCCAGGUGUAGCGGUGAAAUGCGUAGAUAUCUGGAGGAACACCGGUGGCGAAGGCGGCGUUCUGGACUGCAACUGACACUGAGGAACGAAAGCCAGGGGAGCAAACGGG